AGCAGCCGCGGUAAUUCCAGCUCCAAUAGCGUAUAUUAAAGUUGCUGCAGUUAAAAAGCUCGUAGUUGGAUUUCGGGACCAGUAUGUUGGUCGUGCCUCGGUACGUACUGGCAUUGUUGGUUUCUACCUUCUGACGAACCAGGAUGUCAUUUAUUUGGUGUCUUGGGAAAUCAGGACUGUUACUUUGAAAAAAUUAGGGUGUUUAAAGCAGGCUCACGCUUGAAUACAUUAGCAUGGAAUAAUGAAAUAGGACGUUUGAUUCUAUUUUGUUGGUUUCUAGGAUCGACGUAAUGAUUAAUAGGGAUAGUUGGGGGCAUUAGUAUUCAAUUGUCAGAGGUGAAAUUCUUGGAUUUAUUGAAGACUAACUACUGCGAAAGCAUUUGCCAAGGAUGUUUUCAUUAAUCAAGAACGAAAGUUAGGGGAUCGAAGACGAUCAGAUACCGUCGUAGUCUUAACCAUAAACUAUGCCGACUAGGGAUCGGAUGAUGUUAAAUUUUUUAAUGACUCAUUCGGCGCCUUA
rnacentral:rRNA from 1 species